rnacentral:rRNA from 1 species
UACGGAGGGGGCAAGCGUUGUUCGGAAUUACUGGGCGUAAAGGGCGCGCAGGCGGCUGCUCAAGUCAGGCGUGAAAGGCCUGGGCUCAACCCGGGAAUUGCGCUUGAGACUGGGCUGGCUUGAGUGCGGGAGAGGAUGGUGGAAUUCCCAGUGUAGAGGUGAAAUUCGUAGAUAUUGGGAAGAACACCGGUGGCGAAGGCGGCCUGCUGGGCAGUGGCUGACACUGAGGCGCGACAGCGUGGGGAGCAAACAGG